rnacentral:rRNA from 1 species
UACAGAGGUCCCAAGCGUUGUUCGGAUUCACUGGGCGUAAAGGGUGCGUAGGUGGCCGGGUAAGUCUGAUGUGAAAUCCCAGGGCUCAACCCUGGAACUGCAUUCGAUACUGCCUGGCUAGGGUACUGGAGAGGAGACUGGAAUUUACGGUGUAGCAGUGAAAUGCGUAGAUAUCGUAAGGAAGACCAGUGGCGAAGGCGAGUCUCUGGACAGUUACCGACGCUGAGGCACGAAGGUCAGGGGAGCAAACGGG